GUACUGUACUCACUCUGCAGGGUGUUGGGGUCAAUGAGGUGGAUGGUGUGUACUGUACUCACUCUGCAGGGUGUUGGGGUCAAUGAGGUGGAUGGUGUGUACUGUACUCACUCUGCAGGGUGUUGGGGUCAAUGAGGUGGAUGGUGUGUACUGUACUCACUCUGCAGGGUGUUGGGGUCAAUGAGGUGGAUGGUGUGUACUGGAUGGUGUGUACUGUACUCACUCUGCAGGGUGUUGGGGUCAAUGAGGUGGAUGGUGUGUACUGGAUGGUGUGUACUGUACUCACUCUGCAGGGUGUUGGGGUCAAUGAGUUGGAUGGUGUGUACUGGAUGGUGUGUACUGUACUCACUCUGCAGGGUGUUGGGGUCAAUGAGGUGGAUGGUGUGUACUGGAUGGUGUGUACUGUACUCACUCUGCAGGGUGUUGGGGUCAAUGAGUUG